UUAUCCGGAUUUAUUGGGUUUAAAGGGUGCGUAGGCGGCAAGGUAAGUCAGCGGUGAAAGACCAGGGCUCAACUCUGGAAGUGCCGUUGAUACUGUCUGGCUAGAAUGAUUCCGCCGUGGGAGGAAUGAGUAGUGUAGCGGUGAAAUGCAUAGAUAUUACCCAGAACACCGAUUGCGAAGGCAUCUCACGAGGGGUUCAUUGACGCUGAGGCACGAAAGCGUGGGGAUCGAACAGGAUUAGAUACCCUGGUAGUCCACGCAGUAAACGAUGAUGGCUAACUGUCGGGCCUUCGGGUUCGGCGGCCAAGCGAAAGCGAUAAGCCAUCCACCUGGGGAGUACGACCGCAAGGUUUAAACUCAAAGGAAUUGACGGGGGCCCGCACAAGCGGAGGAACAUGUGGUUUAAUUCGAUGAUACGCGAGGAA
rnacentral:rRNA from 1 species